rnacentral:rRNA from 1 species
AUUGAACGCUGGCGGCAUGCUUUACACAUGCAAGUCGAGCGGCAGCGCGGGGGCAACCCUGGCGGCGAGCGGCGAACGGGUGAGUAAUGCAUCAGAACGUGUCCGGGAGUGGGGGAUAACGCCGCGAAAGCGGCGCUAACACCGCAUAUGCUCCCUGGAGGAAAGCGGGGGACCGGCAACGGCCUCGCGCUCGCGGAGCGGCCGAUGUCCGAUUAGCUGGUUGGCGGGGUAAUGGCCCACCAAGGCGACGAUCGGUAGCUGGUCUAAGAGGAUGAGCAGCCACACUGGGACUGAGACACGGCCCAGACUCCUACGGGAGACAGCAGUGGGGAAUUUUGGACAAUGGGGGCAACCCUGAUCCAGCCAUGCCGCGUGCGGGAAGAAGGCCUUCGGGUUGUAAACCGCUUUUAGCCGGGACGAAAGCGCCACGGAUAACAGCCGUGGCGGUUGACGGUACCGGCGGAAUCAGCACCGGCUAACUACGUGCCAGCCGCCGCGGUAAAAC